AUCCCGCCCCGCCUCCCCAAGAGCUGCCUCCUCAGCCAGGCUGCUCGGAGGUGUCCUUCUUGCUCCCCGGGAAGGUGUUUGUUUGUUGGCGAAGAGGAGGAGGAGGAAGCCUGCGCGCGGGCUUCUCAGGGAAAGCCCUCCACGUCCUCCUGCCUGCCUGCCUUGAACCAAAUCUCAGGUUUCCUCUUCGCCUCCUUGAGCGGCACACACACACACACACACCAGAGACGUACAGACACACACUCUCUCUUGGCAGGAUUUGUCAGCAAAGUUUGCCCUCGCCGUGGCUGUCUGGCUGUCGAGAGAGAGCCCAGGAGGGAAAGAGGGAGAGAGGAAGAAGGGCGGGCUGGGCUCCAGGAAAGCUUUUCCCUCUUUCUUUCUUCCCUUCCCCUCAAGACUGCAGUGCGAGCUGGGAAGAGGAUUGCCAGCAACUCCGUGGCGUCUCUCUGUGUAUGUGUGUGUGUCCCUCUCUCCUUCUCUCCCUCCCUUCUCCUCUUCCUGGUCUCCCUUCAGCUCGUCAACAGGGAUACUUUGGCGGGUUGGCAGGAGGAGGAGGAGGAGGAGGAGGAGGUGUCCGCGCCUGUGCGCGACUUCCCACUCGGGGGUCAUCCUAGCAGCCUGCGCCGAGGCGAGAGCGGUCAGUAUUGUCUUUCUCUCUGUCUCUGUCUGUCUCUCUCUCUCCAUCACCACCCUCGCUCCCCCCAUCCCUCAGGGCUGCAGCUUGGCGGGAGAAGGAAGGAGAGGGAGGGAGGGAGGGAAGGAGUGGGGAGGAGGAGGGAGGGAGGGAAGAAAGGAGAAAAUAAGGCAGACGAAGGGGUAUUUCGGGAAAGGGAAUGCGGUGCGUUGCGGAGGAGGGUGCGUGAGCGUGUUGUGACAAAAAAGGGAGCCUGCGUGUGCACGACAUUCUGCCCACAGGAGGGAAGAGAGCGAGCGUGUGUGUGGCGUGAGGGAGAAUUGUGCCUUUCUCAGAAGGAGACCGGGCUCUCUCUCGUGUGUGACUUCAGGGCUGUUUUGGAAGCAGAUUGUGUGGAGCUCCCUGUUCCUGUUCCCAGUGGGAGAGGAGGGUUUGUGUGUCCUGAGGGGGUGUGA
rnacentral:lncRNA from 1 species